GAGAAUUCGUUUUAACCUCGUCACUGACUGGACUAGACUGUAAACUCCUUGGCGUCUGGGAUGGCUCAGCCGUGCCCAGCACCAAGUGCAGGCACUCAAACCCCUGUGGAGUUGCCUCAGACUACUUCACCAUAGUCAUAAAUCCUGUCACAUCCCAGGGACGCAGUUCAUGAGUCUCUUUAUCUAGCCUGAACUCUACUUUUGCAUUCAGACAGGCAGGGGAUGCCUCAUCCUUUGAAUACUGGCACAUUAAGAGCAGGCACAUAGGUAAGAACUGAACCCAAGCACUAUAAGAGAGGAUGUUAAGCAAGAUCUAAAAAUCAAGGUGAUCAACAAGAGCAGUAAUCUUUUCUUUUCCAAGAAAAAAGAAUGGAAGAAACAGAAGGUACUGGGCACAAUGUAUUAAACACUGUGUUUUGAAUGACUCGAGAUUCUACGACUGCCUGGAGGGGUUUUGCUGGAUCGGUGCAAUGUCAUGUGAUUAUUGGAAAUUAAUCCCUUUUUUCAAGAAUUUUUCAAGAAUUAGGUUAAGUUAGAUUUGAGCAAAUUUAAUUACCUUUCCAGGCAUUUGUUUUUCAGAAACAUAAUAAUCUAUGUAUUUGAUUCAAUUAGUAGUAGGCCCAUGGGUUGUUUUGUAA
rnacentral:lncRNA from 1 species